AUUGAACGCUGGCGGCAGGCCUAACACAUGCAAGUCGAACGAGUGGCGGACGGGUGAGUAAUGUCUGGGAAACUGACCGAUGGUGGGGGACAACUACUGGAAACGGUAGCUAAUACCGCCUACCAUCGGAUGUGCCCAGAUGGGUUUAGCUCGUAGGUGGGGUAACGGCACAACUAGGCGACGAUCCCUAGCCGGUCUGAGAGGAUGACCAGCCACACUGGAACUGAGACACGGUCCAGACUCCGACGGGAGGCAGCAGUGGGGAAUAUUACCCAAUAGGCGCAAGCCUGAUACAGCCAUGCCGCGUGUAUGAAGAAGGCCUUCGGGUUGUAGAGUACUUUCAGCGAGGAGGCGUUACUCGCAGAAGAAGCACCGGCUAACUCCGUGCCAGCAGCCGCGGUAAUUC
rnacentral:rRNA from 1 species